GACGAACGCUGGCGGCGUGCUUAACACAUGCAAGUCGAACGGAAAGGCCCGGCUGGCAGGGUCCUCGAGUGGCGAACGGGGGGGUAACACGUGGGUGAUCUGCCCUGCACUUCGGGUUAGGCCGGGGAAACUGGGUCUAAUACCGAAUAGGGGCCAUUUUUAGGGUGAGGGUGGGAAAGUUUUUUCGGUGUGGGAUGAGCUCGCGGCCUAUCAGCUUGUUGGGGGGGUAAUGGCCUACCAAGGCGGCGACGGGAAGCCGGCCUGAGAGGGUGGACGGCCACAUUGGGACUGAGAUACGGCCCAGACUCCUACGGGAGGCAGCAGUGGGGAAUAUUGCACAAUGGGCGCAAGCCUGAUGCAGCGACGCCGCGUGGGGGAUGACGGCCUUCGGGUUGUAAACUCCUUUCGCUAGGGACGAAGCUUUUUGUGACGGUACCUAGAUAAGAAGCACCGGCUAACUACGUG
rnacentral:rRNA from 1 species